rnacentral:pre_miRNA from 1 species
ACAUCAUGAUUCUGGUUUUAGUCAUGAAAGCGUUUUUUCAGUAUUAAUAAUUGGGAAAUCGUUGUCAUGACUGAGCCCAUGAUCAUAUUAUGU